AACGAACGCUGGCGGCAGGCUUAACACAUGCAAGUCGAACGCCCCGCAAGGGGAGUGGCAGACGGGUGAGUAACGCGUGGGAACAUACCCUUUGGUGCGGAACAACAACUGGAAACGGUUGCUAAUACCGCAUGAGCCCUACGGGGGAAAGAUUUAUCGCCAAAGGAUUGGCCCGCGUCGGAUUAGCUAGUUGGUGGGGUAAUGGCCUACCAAGGCGACGAUCCGUAGCUGGUCUGAGAGGAUGAUCAGCCACACUGGGACUGAGACACGGCCCAGACUCCUACGGGAGGCAGCAGUGGGGAAUAUUGGACAAUGGGCGCAAGCCUGAUCCAGCCAUGCCGCGUGAGUGAUGAAGGCCCUAGGGUUGUAAAGCUCUUUCAGCGAGGAGGAUAAUGACGUUACUCGCAGAAGAAGCCCCGGCUAACUUCGUGCCAGCAGCCGCCGUAA
rnacentral:rRNA from 1 species